CAGUCGCCACGGUAAAACGUAGGUGGUAAGCGUUGUCCGGAAUUAUUGGGCGUAAAGGGCUCGCAGGCGGUUUCUUAAGUCUGAUGUGAAAGCCCCCGGUUCAACCGGGGAGGGUCAUUGGAAACUGGGAAACUUGAGUGCAGAAGAGGAGAGUGGAAUUCCACGUGUAGCGGUGAAAUGCGUAGAGAUGUGGAGGAACACCAGUGGCGAAGGCGACUCUCUGGUCUGUAACUGACGCUGAGGAGCGAAAGCGUGGGGAGCGAACAGGAUUAGAUACCCCAGUAGUCCAUGUCUCUUAUAC
rnacentral:rRNA from 1 species